GAUGAACGCUGGCGGCGUGCCUAAUACAUGCAAGUCGAGCGAACAGACGAGGAGCUUGCUCCUCUGACGUUAGCGGCGGACGGGUGAGUAACACGUGGAUAACCUACCUAUAAGACUGGGAUAACUUCGGGAAACCGGAGCUAAUACCGGAUAAUAUAUUGAACCGCAUGGUUCAAUAGUGAAAGACGGUUUUGCUGUCACUUAUAGAUGGAUCCGCGCCGCAUUAGCUAGUUGGUAAGGUAACGGCUUACCAAGGCAACGAUGCGUAGCCGACCUGAGAGGGGGACCGGCCACACUGAAACGGAAACACGGUCAAGCCCCCUAGGGGGGGCACCAGAGGGGAUUCUUCCGCAAGGGGCGAAGGCCGGAGGGAGAACCGCGGGGGGGGGAAUAAAGGUGUGCGGAUCGAAAAACUUUUUUAUGGGGAAAAAAAAAAUUGGAAAUAAACUAUGCACGUCUGGAGGGUACCUAAUCAGAAACCCAGGGCAAACUAGGUC
rnacentral:rRNA from 1 species